UACGUCAAAGCCCCCUCCAGGGGACCCUGCCCCCGGAACCUGAGCCUGAGGAGGACGAGGAGCCCAGUCAGCUGACCUUGCCAGGAUGGCCCCGCCAACCCCAGGCCGGCCCCACCAGCGAGCCAUGCAAACUCAGAAGCGGAUUCGCUAAAACCAAAGAGCCUGGCAGAGACCAAGAAGGCCAGUAUGGAGGCUGGGGGGAAGGAGGAAGAGAAUGCUCCUAACUCUAUCCUGGUUGCUAUUGUGAUGCUGUUGAAUAUCGGCCUAGCGAUCAUAUUUGUUCACUUCCUGACAUGAUGGUCCUGUUUCUCAGUGAUGCCAUGGCAACCGGUGCAGUUGCGUUGCCGGCCGGCUAAACAUCUAAAUGGCGGCAGUCAGACUCGGGUGGAGGCCGCAGGAGCUCGGGAAACAGCUGUGUGACAUAGGAGAGAAACAGGAGAGGCAGGAGAGAAGGUCCCGCAGCCUGUCCUGGGUCGUCCACAGCCUUGCCUGAUCAUAAUACUCUCCUCUGGAGCCUGUGAAAGAACAAACGGACAUGUCUGAGGGAGAUAGUAAAAACACUACAACAGAAAAUGUAAACACACACACACACACACACACACACACACACACACACACACACACACACACACACACACACACACACACACAGGACAAAAUUAAGUAAUUGAAACACACGUCUGCUGACCCAAGCAGUGAGCUCUAUGCUCUGCUCGUGCAUGGACACUCCUUCUGUCUGUCCUUCUGUCUGCCCUUCUGUCUGUCCUUCUGUUCUGUCUUUCUGUCUGUCCUUUUGUCUG